CUUAGUUAAUUUUUCCCUUUCGUCCUUUACCCAGUGUUUUAAUGUUGCCAAUCAGUAGAAAUGGUAAUCCCUUAUAUGAUGGGGAAAAAAUGUUAGAACUUUGGCAUUAGGGUCAAGCUUACUAUUGCGGUGGUGUCAGAAUUAGUUUCUCUUGUUAUAACUCUUGGUUUUGUGAUGCUUUGCUAGCGAACCUAUAGUUUUGAAUUCUUUUACAUAUGGGGUUUGGCUAAUGAUCUUGAUUAUACUGGUGUUUGACUGCUCAUCACUUUCCUUGCAGGUUAAAGAGUUCUUUAAUUUUCUAUAUGAGAAACUGAAGCUCAAGCAAAUAAUUCAACCUCCUAUUAUAGCUUCUGUAAGUUCAAUAUCUUGGGAUGGAUCCACAUAAAGAGCUCUUUUCAAUUUCACUGACUCUAUCUGUGUGCUCCAUAUUGUAAAUUUGAACAUCGAUAAACUAUAUAAUGAAUCAUAUUUCAGCUGCACAACGCUUAUCAUGAAUCCGCAUAAAGAGCUCUCUUCAAUCAUAUGUGUGCUCCAUAUUAUAAAUUUGAACAUUGAUUAACUAUAUAAUGAAUCACCUUUCACCUGCAAAAUGCUUUAUCCUUUUGAUUUUCUACUGUGCAAAGUUGCAUUGAGACAAUUCUGUAGUCUUAUACUCUGAUUUCCCAACUUGCUAAUGUGUUACUUACGAAACUGCGGCAACUAAAACUCCAUUUAGCUGUGAGAUUUACUCAAGUAAUUUUGACUUUCAAAAAUAAAAUACUCUCCCAUGAAUAUUUUAACUGUUCUUCAGAUCGACAAUGUUUAGUUCUGGGACCUUUUGGGGGCCAAUGAGGAGCUGAACUGCAUAAUUCACUUAUAUAGUUGUCAACUAGAACAAUUUUGAUUUCAGAUUGCUAAAUUGCAUGUUCUUUCAAC
rnacentral:lncRNA from 1 species